UACGUAGGGGGCAAGCGUUGUCCGGAUUUAUUGGGCGUAAAGAGCGUGUAGGCGGCCACGCAGGUCCGUUGUGAAAACUGGAGGCUCAACCUUCAGACGUCGACGGAAACCGUAUGGCUAGAGUCCGGAAGAGGAGAGUGGAAUUCCUGGUGUAGCGGUGAAAUGCGCAGAUAUCAGGAAGAACACCAAUGGCGAAGGCAGCUCUCUGGGACGGUACUGACGCUGAGACGCGAAAGCGUGGGGAGCGAACAGG
rnacentral:rRNA from 1 species